CAACACCCUACAAAACGAAGCUUUUGGAAGCAGUAACUAUUAACUCCAUAGCAGGUUAAAUUUGCUACUAUUGCAAAUUGGAAUAAUUUAUUUGCAAUCACUGGAUCUACAAAUAGCUAUGCCUGGAGGUUCGGUGGUGGCUGAAGGGUUCGUGACCCGAGCUGCCGGGUGGUACAGCAUAAGGUUUGCAUAAAGAAACACUUGUUUGCUGAUUCAUUCUGCAAGCCUUCCCAUCUUGAUUUUGAUUCAAUCUUGUGUACAGCUGCAUAAAGAUGGGGAAGUAGGGUCUAUCAUACACAAAACUGUUCUGAAGAAUCAAGAGAUUUUAGCAGAAUAUCCCAGCAACCAGAACUGUGCAGAUGAGUUCACUUAAGAUAUGGUUAAAUACUUUUUGCCAACCUUUAAUGAAAAACACUGUUGUAAAGCUGACAACAACAACUAAGAAAUAUAAACAUAUAUUUAAGUCAAUGAAAACUAACUAAUUAGAUGAGCUCUCUGACAUCAAUGUGAUUUGAUUAUAAAUCCAGAAAGGAAGCUUCAUUAUUAUGAAAGCUUUUCCAGUGACAUUGUAAUGAAUUGCAGCACAUCUUUGCCCAUGCUUUUUGACCCAGUGAAACACAAAAAAAAUCAUUUUGUUUAUUCUAUAACAAAUGGCUGCAUGUGUGUGAUAACACUGUAAUAAACAGCAUUGACUUGUGGAAUGUUAAGCACACUUUCUUAAUGAGAUUUUUCAUUAUUUCAAGCAAAGCAGAUGUAUUCAUAAUUUCAUCUUUGGGUGGAUAUACAAAUACUUUUACUGUAGAAAUCUAGGUUUAAGCCCCUUAGACCUUCAGUCAUACAACUCAGUUGAAUUCAAUACAGUGGACAUUUUCUGCUGUCCUCAGUGAAAAGCUUUCUUCUUAUUAUAUUUGUAUUACUGAUAUAAAUCGGCUCACAGCUCAAGCACAGAGGGUAAUAGUGAAUGGGGUAACAUCAGACUGGUGACCUGUCACUACUGGGUUUCCACAGGGCUCCAUCUUGGGCCCUGUGCUCUUCAAUAUCUUCAUAAAUGAUUUGGAUGCAGGACUAGAAGGAAUACUAAGCAAGUCUGCAGACGACACAAAACUGGGAGGAGCUGUUGACU